CUACGGGUGGCAGCAGUGGGGAAUAUUGGACAAUGGGGGAAACCCUGAUCCAGCAAUGCCGCGUGUGUGAAGAAGGCCUGCGGGUUGUAAAGCACUUUCGGUUGGGAGGACUGCUUCUAGCACUAAUAUUGUUGGAAGUUGACGUUACCUUCAGAAGAAGCACCGGGUAACUCCGUGCCAGCAGCCGCGGUAAUACGGAGGAUGCAAGCGUUAAUCGGAAUUACUGGGCGUAAAGCGCGCGUAGGCGGCUAGAUCAGUCGGGUGUGAAAGCCCCGGGCUUAACCUGGGAACUGCAUCCGAUACUGUCUAGCUUGAGUACAGGAGAGGAGAGUGGAAUUCCACAUGUAGCGGUGAAAUGCGUAGAUAUGUGGAGGAACACCAAUGGCGAAGGCAGCUCUCUGGCCUGAUACUGACGCUGAGGUGCGAAAGCGUGGGGAGCAAACAGGAUUAGAUACCCCAGUAGUC
rnacentral:rRNA from 1 species